UACGGAGGGUGCAAGCGUUGCUCGGAAUUAUUGGGCGUAAAGGGUAGGUAGGUGGUCUCAUUUGUCCGGGGUGAAAGCCUUGGGCUUAACUCAAGAAGUGCCCCGGAAACGGUGAGACUAGAGUACUGGAGAGGCGAGUGGAAUUCCCGGUGUAGCGGUGAAAUGCGUAGAGAUCGGGAGGAACACCAGAGGCGAAGGCGGCUCGCUGGACAGUCACUGACACUCAGCUACGAAAGCGUGGGGA
rnacentral:rRNA from 1 species